rnacentral:rRNA from 1 species
AUUGAACGCUGGCGGCAGGCCUAACACAUGCAAGUCGAACGAGUGGCGGACGGGUGAGUAAUGUCUGGGAAACUGCCUGAUGGAGGGGGAUAACUACUGGAAACGGUAGCUAAUACCGCAUACCAUCGGAUGUGCCCAGAUGGGAUUAGCUAGUAGGUGGGGUAAAGGCGAACCUAGGCGACGAUCCCUAGGUGGUCUGAGAGGAUGACCGGCCACACUGGAACUGAGACACGGUCCAGACUCCGACGGGAGGCAGCAGUGGGGAAUAUUGCACAAUGGUCGCAAGCCGGAUGCAGCCGUGCCGCGUGUAUGAAGAAGGCCUUCGGGUUGUAAAGGACUUUCAGCGGGGAGGCGUGACCCGCAGAAGGAGCACCGGCUAACGCCGUGACAGCAGCCGCGGUAAGUC